rnacentral:rRNA from 1 species
AUGACUUUAAAUAGCAUUGGACCAACUAUCUCGGAUUUCAAGGAAUUUAAUUAUGAUAAUUGUUCUUUAGAAGGUUGUAUUUCCUUGUUGCAAUCCGUUGCUAAUUCUCCUCAUGCUUAUAGUCAAAAUAAAGCUUUUACCGAACAUAUCGUUGAUGCCUUGAUGCAAUCUUAUGAUGAAAAACUUAAUUUGGAAGUUUCUAUACCUAGAAAACUUAAUGAUGAGUGGGAACCUACUAUAAAGAUUAAAAUUAAAGAUCAUGAGUGUUUUGCUUUGUGCGGUUUGGGUGGUAGUGUUUCCACGAUUCCGAAAACUUUAUGUGAUAUUCUAGGUUUCCAUGAUCUUGAUGAUUGCUCUUUAAGUUUGCACCUUGCAGAUUCCACCAUUAAAAAGCCAAUGGGAAGGAUCAAUGAUGUUCUCAUAGUUGCAAAUAGAAAUUUGGUACCCGUAGAUUUUAUCGUUCUUGAUAUAGAUUGCAAUCUUUCUUGCCCUAUUAUUCUUGGUAGACCUUUCAUUAGAACGAUUGGCACGAUUAUCGAUAUGAAGGAAGGGAAUAUUAGAUUCCAAUUUCCAUUAAGGAAAGGCAUGGAGCACUUUCCAAGAAAAAUUAAAUUAAAUUAUCUUAUGAAUCUAUCAUGCGGGCUACUUAUGAAUUUAGUGCCAAAGAUGACACUACUUAGAUCUAUCUUCACUUUUAUGCCUAGCUAG